rnacentral:rRNA from 1 species
GAUCAUGGCUCAGGAUAAACGCUAGCUACAGGCUUAACACAUGCAAGUCGAGGGGCAGCAUGGUCUUAGCUUGCUAAGGCCGAUGGCGACCGGCGCACAGGUGAGUAACACGUAUCCAACCUGCCGUCUACUCUUGGACAGCCUUCUGAAAGGAAGAUUAAUACAAGAUGGCAUCAUGAGUCCGCAUGUUCACAUGAUUAAAGGUAUUCCGGUAGACGAUGGGG